rnacentral:rRNA from 1 species
UACGUAGGGGGCUAGCGUUGUCCGGAAUUAUUGGGCGUAAAGCGCGUGUAGGCGGUCCGGUAAGUCCGCUGUGAAAGUCGGGGGCUCAACCCUCGAAUGCCGGUGGAUACUGUCGGGCUAGAGUGCGGAAGAGGCGAGUGGAAUUCCUGGUGUAGCGGUGAAAUGCGCAGAUAUCAGGAGGAACACCAAUUGCGAAGGCAGCUCGCUGGGACGUUACUGACGCUGAGACGCGAAAGCGUGGGGAGCAAACAGG